GUGCUCCCAGCUGCUUCUCUCUCAGGCUCUGUACUUGGCAACCAGUACUCCUUGUAUUGGAUGAUACAUGAACCAAUAAUCUCAGCCCUCCUAUUGUUGAGGUUUCUCCGGUAAUCUUCCAAGCUAUUGUGUCGCAGCAUCUUCGGACAAUUUGAAGGUUCUCUGUCCACGGGGACAGUGUUUCACAUGAUUUGAGGACGGCAAUGGAGUCUCCCCAUGAAGAGAGGACUACAAAUGUAAAGAAAGCUUCAGUCUUGGAGAUCAGGUUUCCAUCUUCCAGUGCCUCUGUCAUUUCAAGAAACUCUGAUGCACAUCUUAGGGCUGCUACGUUACUUACGUUCAAACUUAUAGGGAGGCCGUAGCAGAAUUUCAAUAUGAUUUCAAAUGUUUCUGCACCACCAGGAAAGUUAUCAAGCUUGAGAUCGCAGCAUGCAUCUGAAAUCUGGGGCCGGAGCUCUAUUCGGCUGAAGUAGCCGCACUUGGAGAUCAGUGGAUACUGUUUCAGGAAGGUAUUGAUGAGAUCUGUUGGAAUCUGAGACAUGGCAAGCCUGCGCAAGUAGAACCACGUGGCUGAGUUAGAGCCGUGGAUGAAACAUGUUGAGCAGCAAAUAUGUAGAGGUUACCAUGAAUGUUCUUUCUUCUCAAAACCAGAGUCUGCUCCUUCUGCAAUGAAUUUUGAGGGAACUAUUACCCGCCGGUCCUCUUCUGAGGUGAUACCAUCCGAGUUGCUUGCUAGGGUCUGUUCCGUAGAAAUUUCCAUCUUCUUUCGGCCGUUGCUGCACCCACUAGUGAUGAUGCUUAUCGUGUUUUAUCGACAAAGAGAUGGUCACAAGUUUUGACCACUUAGAGCAUCCACAAUAGGG